rnacentral:rRNA from 1 species
AUACGUAGGGGGCGAGCGUUGUCCGGAAUGAUUGGGCGUAAAGGGCGCGUAGGCGGCCCGGUAAGUCUGGAGUGAAAGUCCUGCUUUUAAGGUGGGAAUUGCUUUGGAUACUGUCGGGCUUGAGUGCAGGAGAGGUAAGUGGAAUUCCCAGUGUAGCGGUGAAAUGCGUAGAGAUUGGGAGGAACACCAGUGGCGAAGGCGACUUACUGGACUGUAACUGACGCUGAGGCGCGAAAGUGUGGGGAGCAAACAGGAUUAGAUACCCUGGUAGUCCACACGGUAAACGAUGAAUGCUAGGUGUAGGGGGUAUCGACCCCUUCUGUGCCGCAGUUAACACAAUAAGCAUUCCGCCUGGGGAGUACGGCCGCAAGGUUGAAACUUAAAGGAAUUGACGGGG